GGGACCGCGGCGCCAUUUUCGGGGUCUACGAAUCAAAACAAACACACUGUGUUGGAACAACGACGACAAGAAAGAUGUUUAAAAGCAGCUCAAAAGAGAAUGGACUGUAUAGAGACCGAUUGCGUCCAGAGGCGAAGCAGCGGUACUUGCAGAAAUAGCGUGCAUUGGAAAUGUGGACCCGUAUGAAAUACGGCCGUGGAGUAGAAACCCUGAAGACCAACCGCUAUUGACGUAGCCUGACAUAUUUUCAUACCUUCUCUUUGGAGUCAGCGCGUACAAGUCGUCAUUCAAACAAAGGUACUGCACUCUCAAAGACUGAAUGAACCAGCAUUGCAGCCAUAGGUCAUUGUGAGCAUCACAGGGAAGGUUGAAGCUGCCCACUGCACCUGUAUGGCCGGAGUCGUGGAGACCUGCACCCAUGUCGCUGCUCUUCUGUGUAAUGUAGAAGCAACUUUGUGGAUCUGUGGCACAAGGACUGUUACAGAUGAACCUGCAUACUGGGUUUUGCUGGGUAAUAUGACCAAGAUACAGCCAGAGGUUGGCCAUAAGAUAGACUUCUCCUCUUCAGCUGCCCAAAAAAAGGCUCUUGAUCAAAAUAUAAACAGACCAUCUGUAUUGAAAGGUAAAAGGAGCCGUCCU